UCAAGGAUAGCUCAGUUGGUAGAGUGUAAGGCCCUUCAUCUGAGGGUUGUGGGUUCAAGCCCCAUGUUGGGUGAA